UACACAUAGCAUAGCAAUCACCCUUGGAAAAACUACAUGGCUUACCAAAAGAGUUCUCUCUGUUCACUGUCCAUUAUCUGUUGACUAUAGUAGUUCAAAUGAAUAGCAAGUAAUGAUCAAAUUACCAGCUUAUAUUUAGCAACAGGGCCUUCUUAUAUUUAAAGAAAAAUGCAAGGAUAAAAUAGAAAAUCCAGACAUGAACUCUUCGGAAUUCAGAUUAUUUUCCUAAUUUAGAUUUCUGGAUAUUCUCUCUGCAAUUGUCUUGGAAAAUAUCACUGAGAAUGUGAAUUACAAGACCCUGUCUUGCCUCGGAUCUCAUCUUCCUCAAUGAAGCUCCAUCCAUAUUGCCCUUUUCAGAGUCCUCAAACAUGUCAAGCUUGCCCUCAUGUCAAGAUAGGCCUGGAACUCCAUGUCCUUUACCACAGUGGUACCUUCCCCUCACCCAUGGAAAGCAACAUGGAUGCACAGAGGAUGUAUACAAUGAUUAGUCAAGCACAUUUCAUCAAUUAAGAACAGGUUUCCAUGAAGUUUGUACAUCUGAAUAACCUGAGUGCUUCUUAGGAAACUUUACUGAUUAUCCUAGCCUUGCAAUAUAAUGUGGCCCUGAUCUGUUUAAUCAAUCAGCAAGUUUUCAAGGAAGUUACUGAGUACAUGACAGUAAUUUCCAGAGGCAAAUUGAUAGAUGCAUGAAUAAGAUCUCAUCCUAAAAAAAGAAAAAGAAUCACCUUCUGAAAGUCCAUGCUAGUUAUCUGAAAUAACAAAGGGGAAGCGCAAACUAUGUGAUCCGUCAGAAUGUGAGAUAAACAUGUGUUGCUACUCUGUGAUUUUGGUCUUUAUCCCAGUCUGACCCAUUUCUUCAGAUUGUUACCUCAAGAUGCUCUCCCAUGGAGUUUGCACUGAGUAUACUUUAAUCCAGUUUCUUAAAAAUCCAUAACAAAUUACUAGGGUCUCAAUGACUUAUCAAAACUCCUAUGUUUCAAAAAUGAUACAUAAGAAUCAUAAUAUUCAGUAAAUGUGAAUAAAGUAUUUCAUACCUGCAGGGUAGAAUUUUUCCACUGGAGCAGAACAAGAAAAAAAAAAUAAAAGUACACAUGCCAAGACUAGAACCUUGUUGUCACUCUAAAGUGUAUUCCUUCUAAAUUUACUAACUCAAACAUCCCAUGCUUCCAGUGUGGAUCUCUUAACCUCCCAUUUUGCUUGCACAAUCCCCCCAUUAGUACUGGUCUUCAUGCUCUUCAAGACCUCUGUUAUAUUCUGUGUUCCAAAGUGGUUAAAUUGAAGACACCAGAACUAGACUAUCUAAUGGUUCGAAUUGCUGAUGUUAUUUAUUACCUGUAUAAUCUUAGGUAUGAUUCUCUUUACUGUAAAAUUAGUGUAAGAAUAACAUCUCACAUUUAAGUAAUAAUAAUACCUACAUCAUAGGACUGUCAUAAGAAUUAAGUGAGUAAAAAAAUGUUAAGUAUUUAGAUGAGUUCUUGGCA